UAAGAGAACAAGCGAACUUGGAACAGGAGAACAAGGAAGAGAAGUUGGGUGCAAUGGGGACAGUCCAGGUGUGAUGAAAUAGUCAUGAGGAGAGGCAGAGUCUAGCUUGAGUUACACCCCGCCGGUCGUAAAGUAAUGAACGGGAGAUCUAGAGGAGGAACAGCACAGAGAUGGACAGAGGAAGCAACAGCUCUUAUAAAAAGUGUGACCACUGAAAGUGGAACUAAUCUAAAGGAACAGUCUCAUUAUUGAAGUAAAAACAGUUGUCCGGACCAAAUCUUAAGAAUGACUCGACUAGAAUCUGCUCUCCAGCGGUCAGAAAGCCGCUCUGUGACAGAAAUACAGAGCAGAAGAGGAAGUGUCAGCCAACACACAGAAACUAAAAGAGAAGUGGAACAAAAUGGCGGUCGUGCUAUUUUUAAGAGAGCCAGUCGCUUCCUCUCAAGAGACAGGGAAGUGGAAGGCGGCAGUCCAGCCUCUCCUGUGCGGCACUACGAAAGAGGCCACCCCCUUCCAGCCAACCACAGUCCAGAACGCAAAGCCACCAUCCCCUUCCGAAACCGUGACCUGGGCCUACCGUCCAUCAGGAGGCGCUCUGACAAUCUUAGCGAUGAGGCGAUAAGUGGUCUCUCUCCCCAACGAUACAUGCCCUAUUCAAAUUUCAGACGUGGCGACAGCCAAUCUCGUGCAAGCCCUCGCUCUGGGAGUCCAAGAUCUAUGAACGUCUCACCACAUAGGCGAGCAGAAUCUCGAAGUUCAUCCCAUCACCAAGGUUCUACCACGCAUGGUCACCGAACAUCUCACACUUCCUCCAAACAUGCCUCUGGGAAAUGUACACCAUCGCGAAGACGAGAUUCUGUCGUCUCGCGCACCGCCUCUCCCUUGAGAAGCUCUGGGACGAACAAAUAUGCUGAUUUGUUUAGCCCCUCCCACAAAAGAAGCCCCUCCCAGAGUUCUUACGGGCAUAGUUUAGAUUCCGAAAAGCUGUAUAGGAAUCUCAAAUCGAUUGCCAGUUCGGCUGAGUCAGAUGCUUCAGACGACAGGCAUUGCUGGUCGAAACAGUUGAAUUCUGACAUGGAAAUAGAUGGCAAUUAUAAUGAACGAAAUCAUAGUAGUCAUAACAGUGGACGAAACAGUAGAAAAAGUGGCCACAAUACUGGCUGCAAAAGUCGUGAUUACUCCCCGACUGGAGGCUACUAUGACGACAACCAUGUCUCGCAUAAAACAAGUCACGUCAGUCGGAAUAGUGGUCGAAACAGUCGCAACAGUAGAAAUGCUGGUUGUAGCACUGGCUAUAACAGCACUGGUGUCUCGACCCCUUAUCGAGAUUAUAAUAACCAUGGUCACAGCACUCCUAGAAACCAUUUGAAUCAUAAAUCUGACCGAGAUGGUGCAUUAUCAGACGCCUCACCCAAACAGUCCAGAUCUGAUUCCCAUCAAUCUCAAAGCUCCACCCACUACCCUCUAAGCCCCAUCUCUCAAAAACAAUUAGAUCCCAGCGAUUUCGCCAAAUCCCAAGCUUUAGAUGCUGAGAUGAACAAGCCAGUCACUGAUAGGAGCGGAAGCAGCAUCAGGCGGGGCUUGGAGGCAAUAAUUCUGUCAGAGAACCCCAGAUCCGAGAGCCAACCAGCAGUGCCAGAGAUGACCAUAGAGGACUAUGUGAUAAUAGCGGAUAUUCCCCGCUCUAAACUGUAUCCUGAAGAAGAAGAAACAAUUGUAGUGAGAAGGAGACCGCAGAGCCAAAGCCCACGCCGAGACAAUCAGCACAGCUACAGGGAUGUGAAAUAUGGUUGUGAGCUUGAGGUUUCAGAGGAGCGAGGCAGAGGAAGAGAAAGAGAGCGAGGAAGAGACCGCCGAGAGAAAGAACGCAGACGUCCAGACAAAGAGAUGGGAGGACAAUCAAAAACCAACAGCACUGCAUCGGGACAAUCACAGCUUGACUCUCUGAACUAUAAAAAGGGAUGGAUGGAUAUGCUGGAUGAAGAUGAAGAGUGGAGGAAGUAUUGGUUUGUGAUCACUGACUCAGGAUUGAGAUACUAUAGAGACUCAGAGGCUGAAGAGAGGGAUGAGGCAGAUGGUGAGAUUUAUUUAUAUCACUGUCUGAGAGUGGAGGAAUUUGAUGCUGACAAGAACUAUGGACUUCAAUUGCAUAUGCGUGAUGGACUGGUCACUCUGUCCACGAUGACCUCCAGAAUCAGGAGGAACUGGAUCGACAUCCUCAGAAGAAGAAUUUCCUUCAGGGAUUCAGCUGAAAGCAUCCAGUAUGAUAGUAGGAAGUUGGUAUGUCCUUCUGUUCUCAGACACCCUGACAACAGUGACACCAGUGAUAGAGAGAACUCGAAUGCACCAUCUCGAACCUCUCCAUCACCCCCACAUCAGCAUGACCCGGAGUCAGAUAUCACCGGCCCAUAUCACGAUGAACCUGACAUGAUGUCAUCGCCGUUAACCAAUCGAAGGGAGGCAGGUGAGGGCCGUGACAAGGAACACGAGAGACGUCUGGAGGACCGGACUAAGUGGUUCCAAGAUGGAGUUUCAGACAGGGAGGGUGAGGACCCCUGGGAUAAGGUGGAUUUAAAGAAAGGUGCCUUGACUUCUAUUGCUCUGACCCAGCUGGAGGUUCCUGACGCUCCAACAGGGCCAGACAUUGAAAGGAAGUGGGCGGAUUUUGAGCAAUUUACAUUUGGAGAGCUGAGGUCGCUGUCACUGGUUGGUUCCCAGACUCCACGAGCGACAAAUGAGCUGCUUCAGCAAGAGGUGACUAGUGUUGUACUGUACUGUGGUCAAUGUACAAUGUUGAAUCUUUUCAUGCUAUCCCGUGUCCUCUCUUGCUUCUCAUCCUCCGCUCUUUGUUCUGAUGUUGUGUUCACUCUUAAAAAUAAAAGUUCCAAAAAAUGUUGAUGAUGUCAUUGAAGAACAUGUUUAAAACUUUUAUUAUGUCAUUGGAAAGUCUUUUAAAUUAAGACUCAAUCUUAAGAAUUAAGAUUAAAUUAAUCCAUACAAUGCGAGUGAAUGGUGACCAGAACUUUGAAGCUCUAAAGCAUAUAAAGGCAGCAUAAAAUUAAUCCAUACGACUCCAGUGGUUUAAUCCAUGUCUUCAGAAGUAAUAUGAUAGCUGUGGGGGAGAAACAGAUCAAUAUUUAAGUCCUUUUUUUACGACAAUUCCGAUAGCACGUGAAGCCAGCAUAACAGUCAAAAUGUUCUUUGCUAAAAUGUGAAGUGUCAGCUUUAUUUGGGUUCUCUAAUUAAUUAAAGCGACAGAAAUAAAAUUUCUCGUAUCAUUACUCACCCUCAUGCUGUCCCAGAUGUGUAUGACUUUCUUUCUUCAGCUGAAUGCAAAUGAAGAUUUUUAGAGGAAUAUUUCCGCUCUGUAGGUCCAUACAAUGCAAGUGAAUGGUGACCAGAACUUUGAAGCUCCAAAAAGCACAUAAAGGCAGCAUAAAAGUAAUCCAUAAGACUCCAGUGGUUUAAUCCAUGUCUUCUAAAGUGAUAUGAUAGGUGUGGGUGAGAAACAGAUCAAUAUUUAAGUCCUUUUUUACUAGAAAUUCUCCUCCCUGCGCAGUAGGUGGUGAUAUGCACGAAGAAUGUGAAUCACCAAAAACAAAAGAAGAAAAAUGUGAAAGUGAAAGUGGAGAUUUAUAUUAAAAAGGACUUAAAUAUUGAUUUAGUUUGGGUCCUGUUGUUAAUUCCGUUCCCUGUUUUGUCAUUUAAAGAAUUAGUUGAGAGAGAAUUUCUUUGACAUGUAAGAUAAAUGGACAUUAUUUUGGAAUAUUCCCAAAUCAGAAUUGACUCAAAUCGUAUCGUAUCGUAGUCUAAUCGAGGACUUGUAAAUCGUAAUUGAAUCAAUCGAGAAAUCUGAAUCAAUACCCAGCCAAUUAUAAUUUUAAACAUUUUAAUUUUCCUAUGAUGUAAUUGGAGAACCCUUUAAAUUUCAUAGUACAUCAUAGGAUAAUAAAAAUAUUUUAAAAAUGGAUCCCCUUUUCUCCCAGUUUGGAAUACCCAAUUCCCACUACUUACUAGAUCCUCGUGGUGGCGCGGUUACUCACCUCAAUCCGGGUGGCGGAGGACAAGUCUCAGUUGCCUCCGCUUCUGAGAC